ACUGCAUUAUGCUCAGUGGGGAAUAUUUGAAGCCACAAAUAUUGCGGAGGAUAACGGAACCAUGGACAGGAUGUGUUGACAUGGUCGUCUUCAUUGGAUUCAAGCUUCCCUGGCCUGCUCUGGAUACAGUGAUGCAGCACUGAAUGGACCUCUCGUGCCACCUGCAAUCUGGAGAGUUAUCUGCAGCCAACCAACUGAGGGUUGAGAAAGACACACAAGAGACAGCAAGGAAGUAAAACGAGGAAAGAUAAGAAUUCUGAGUUAUAGAGCUGGCGUGAAAGAAGACAGGAGGAUAAAGAGAGAAGGGGUGAGUUGUGGAGCUGCCUGAGUGCUGCAGUGUGGAGGUUGGAGGUCAUGGUGGGGCGGGGCCUGUGGGUGUGUAAGCCCCGCUUUGGUAAGCGGGGGCGGUUCGGGGUGGUGCCUGCUCUCUGUGUGCUGAUAGUCAGUGCUGCCCUGCUAGCUCUGCUCUUCGUGGACUCCAUUGAGUCAUGGGCCACCUCCAUGAACAUGAACACAAUGGUAGAGGCGCAGGGGGGGAUUAUACUCCCACAAAGUGUCCCCCCAACCAGACCCGAGGAGUACCUCCUUAUGCCCAGCCCUCUCGUCUGCCAGCGUGCCAAACCCUACCUCAUCGCCAUGGUGACCUCCGCCCCAGCCAAUCAGAUGGCCCGCCAGGCCAUCCGGGACACGUGGGGUGGGGAGGUGGAGGUCAGGGGUCAUAGGGUCAUGACCUUGUUCAUGGUCGGGGUGGCCUCUGACCCUGGGCUAGCCAAGCUGCUGAUAGAGGAGGCCCGGGAACGAGGGGACCUGAUCCAAGGGCGCUUCUGGGACUCCUACUCUAACCUGACCCUGAAGACCCUCUCCAUGCUGAACUGGGCCCGACACUUCUGCCCCCAGGCCCACUUCCUGGCCAAGGUGGACGAUGACGUCCUGUUCAACCCCGGGGCCCUGCUGCGCUACCUGAACAGGAGCACCGUGACCAACACCUACGAGCAUGGGGACCUGUACCUUGGCCGGGUCCACCUUCACGUGGCUCCAGACCGAGACCCAGACAGUAAGCACUACCUCCCUAGAGGGGCAUACCCUGCAUCUGUCUUCCCUGACUACUGCAGUGGCACUGCCUACAUCCUCUCUCGCUCCACCCUGCUCAAGAUCUCCUUGACUGCCGCUGCCUCACCUCUGCCCACCCCUCUGCCCCCUGAGGACGUGUUUGUGGGUCUGUGUGCCCGUGCAGCUGGAGUGCUGCCCUCCCACUGCCCGCUGUUCUCUGGUGGGCCCGCAGUGCCCUACGGGCGCUGCUGCUACCAGGCCAUGGUGUCCAUCCACCACAUCUCCCCCAGAGAGAUGCUCCGGUUUUGGGCUGACAUCCACUCCCCUCCCCCCUGCUCCUGGCUGGGCCUGCGCGCCUCCCUGGGGGUCUGUAAAGUCCGGGCCAUGCUGGGGACCUUUCUGGGGGUGGAUCAGGGGCUGUGAGGGGGGUGUUGCCCUCGUGGAUAGGAAACUAUUGUGUUUUGGGGGCUGUGCCUCUGCCAGGAUUUCAAUACUGUGAAUAGCACAAGUGCUCUAUUUCAUUGGGAAUGUUCUAUAGAUAAACUUGAAGGAACAAAGGAAGAAACAGAGGCAAAGGGAGCACCUCAGUACACAGUCAGCCCGUCUUCCCUGGUGGUUCAACCGCUAUGGUCAGUCAGCAGCACUCAAGACAUGAAAAAGACCAGAUGAGAUGGACUGCCAUAGGCGAACACAUACACACACAAACACACAGAUGCAGUAUUUAUAACCCCGCUUCAAUAACUUAUGUAACUGUCAUGUUUAGCAAGUAGAGUGUGAAUAAAAGACAUGCAUUGGUUUUUCUGGGCUGGGAGGGUAAUGAUUUGUCUGACCCAGAGAGGGAUUCAGUCCACUGCUGCAGAGGGCUCUUCUGUAGUCAAGAGGGUUGCGUUUACACAGGCAGCCUAAUUCUGAUAUUUUUCCCACUAAUUGGUCUUUUGACCAAAUGUAUAUCUUUUUUACAUCAGAUCUUUUUCAGAGUUGAUCUGAUUAGUCAAAAAAACUAUUAGUGAGAGAAAAAAAUCUGAAUUGGGCUGCCUGUGUAAAUGCAGCUGAGGAGAUCCAAUACAAAUUAAAAUGCAGUUUUCAACAUUAUUUAUGAGUGUAUGUUGUAGACAAAGGGACAUCUCUUGGAUUUUUGGGGGGGAUGUAUUAUUGGGGAGUGUUUCCAAUAACCUUUUCAAUACUAACGUGAGAAGUGAACUGAAACAUUGUAAUUCGCAUUGUUUGAACAAAGACAGAUCCGGGUAGCCAUGUAUGUUCUUCCUCCUCCCUCACCUAGAAUGAAUAUUGAGUAUUCUAUUCUGUGAAGAUGUAUUAGUAUGAAGGAUGCGUGAAUGUACUCAGAAAAUGUGUGUGUGCAAGAAUGGAUUGAUCACUAAUAAAGCCCUCAAUCAUACCCUU